UACGGGGGGGGCAAGCGUUGUUCGGAAUUACUGGGCGUAAAGGGCUCGUAGGCGGCCAACUAAGUCGGAUGUGAAAUCCCCAGGCUUAACCUGGGAACUGCAUCCGAUACUGGAUGGCUUGAAUCCGGGAGAGGGAUGCAGAAUUCCAGGUGUAGCGGUGAAAUUCGUAGAUAUGGGGAGGAACACCGGUGGCGAAGGCGGUCACCUGGACGGAUACUGACGCUGAGACGCGAAAGCGUGGGGAGCAAACAGG
rnacentral:rRNA from 1 species